GAUGAAGAACGUAGCGAAAUGCGAUAAGUAAUGUGAAUUGCAGAAUUCAGUGAAUCAUCGAAUCUUUGAACGCACAUUGCGCCCGCCAGUAUUCUGGCGGGCAUGCCUGUUCGAGCGUCAUUUCCACCAUCAGGCCCCCGGGCCUGUGUUGGGGACCUGCGGCUGCCCGCAGGCCCCGAAAUUCAGUGGCGGUCGCGCCGUAGCAACCGAGCGUAGUAACUAAAACGUCUCGCUCUGGCUCGCUGGGCGCGCCCCGGCCGUAAAACACCCCCCCUUUUCGCAAAGGUUGACCUCGGAUCAGGUAGGAAUACCCGCUGAACUUAAGCAUAUCAAUAAGCGGAGGA
rnacentral:misc_RNA from 1 species